rnacentral:sRNA from 1 species
ACCACUGCCAAUCUAUCUAUCGCUGCUAAUCUAUCGCUGCCAAUCUAUCUACCGCGGCGAAUCUAUCCAUCGCUGCCAAUUUAUCUACCACUGUCAAUCUAUCUAUUGCUGCUAAUCUAUCGCUGCUAAUCUAUCGCUGCUAAUCUAUCGCUGCCAACCUAUCUACCGCGGCGAAUCUAUCUAUUGCUGCCAACCAAUCUACCACUGCCAAUCUAUCUAUCGCUGCUAAUCUAUCGCUGCUAAUCUAUCGCUGCUAAUCUAUCGCUGCUAAUCUAUCGCUGCCAACCUAUCUACCGCGGCGAAUCUAUCUAUUGCUGCCAACCAACCUACCACUGCCAACCUAUCUAUCGCUGCCAAUCUAUCUACUGCAGUGAAUCUAUCUAUCACUAUCAUUACUAGUUCAAAAUAGAACUAGAGCAUAAAUACACUAAACUUCUUUUGAUAGAUAAUGAUUUUUGGUAACACUCAUAGCAUUAUAUCAUCUAUAUAGGGUAAAUCAUGGUCCCAUUUGGUCCCAUUUUGUUAAAAUGGGACCAAAUGGAACCAGAAUCAGUAAUUUAUAAGAAGAACAUGACCUGGGACU